UGUAAUUUAGUAUAGGAUGUAUAUAAGCUUUUGAUGCUUAGGGGACUAGUUUAAUUUUAGUAAUUGCAA
rnacentral:tRNA from 1 species